rnacentral:rRNA from 1 species
UACAGAGGCCUCGAGCGUUAGGCGGAAUCACUGGGCUUAAAGCGUGUGUAGGCGGACCCCUAAGUGCCUUGUGAAAUCCCACGGCUCACCCGUGGAACUGCUGGGCAUACUGAGGGUCUUGAGCCACCUAGGGGCUACCGGAACAAAUGGUGGAGCGGUGAAAUGCGUAGAUAUCAGGAGGAACACCGGUGGCGAAGGCGGGUCUCUGGGCAGUAACUGACGCUGAGGAGCGAAAGCGUGGGGAGCGAACAGG